rnacentral:rRNA from 1 species
AACGAACGCUGGCGGCAUGCCUAACACAUGCAAGUCGAACGAGACCUUCGGGUCUAGUGGCGCACGGGUGCGUAACGCGUGGGAACCUGCCCUUAGGUUCGGUGUAACUUCCCGAAAGGGGUGCUAAUACCGGAUAAUGUCUUCGGACCAAAGAUUUAUCGCCUCUGGAUGGGCACGUGUUGGAUUAGCUAGUUGGUAGGGUAAAAGCCUGCCAAGGCGACGUUCCAUAGCUGGUCUGAGAGGAUGAUCAGCCACACUGGGACUGAGACACGGCCCAGACUCCUACGGAAGGCAGCAGUGUGGAAUAGUAGACAAUGGGCGAAAGCCUAAUCCAGCAAUGCCGCGUAAGUGAGGAAGGCCUGAGGGUUGUAAAGCUCUUUUACCCGAGAUGAUAAUGACAGUACCGGGAGAAUAAGCUCCGGCUAACUCCGUG